rnacentral:rRNA from 1 species
CCUGCCUGGUAGCGGGGGAGUAACUAUUGAAACGAUAGCUAAUACCGCAUAAUAGUAGAUGUUGCAUGACAUUUGCUUAAAAGGUGCAAUUGCAUCACUACCAGAUGGACCUGCGUUGUAUUAGCUAGUUGGUGAGGUAACGGCUCACCAAGGCAACGAUACAUAGCCGACCUGAGAGGGUGAUCGGCCACACUGGGACUGAGACACGGCCCAG